rnacentral:rRNA from 1 species
GGGCUACACACGUGCUACAAUGGCGGUGACAGUGGGAAGCUAGAUGGUGACAUCGUGCCUAUCUCUAAAAACCGUCUCAGUUCGGAUUGCACUCUGCAACUCGAGUGCAUGAAGGUGGAAUCGCUAGUAAUCGCGGAUCAGCAUGCCGCGGUGAA